AUUGAACGCUGGCGGCAGGCCUAACACAUGCAAGUCGAGCGGAGCGGCGUACGGGUGAGUAAUGCCUAGGAAUCUGCCUGGUAGUGGGGGAUAACGUCUGGAAACGGGCGAUAAUACCGCAUAAUAUCAGAUGAGCCUAGGUCGGAUUCGCUAGUUGGUGGGGUAAAGGCCUACCAAGGCGACGAUCCGUAACUGGUAUGAGAGGAUGAUCAGUCACACUGUAACUGAGACACGGUCAAGACUCCUACGGGAGGCAGCCGUGGGGAAUAUUGGACAAUGGGCUAAAGCCUGAUCCAGCCAUGCCGCGUGUGUGAAGAAGGUCUUCGGAUUGUAAAGCACUUUAAGUUGGGAGGCGUUACCAACAGAAUAAGCACCGGCUAACAUCGUGCCAGCAGCCACGGUAAUAC
rnacentral:rRNA from 1 species